rnacentral:rRNA from 1 species
GACAGAGGUGCCAAGCGUUAGGCGGAAUCACUGGGCUUAAAGCGUGUGUAGGCGGAUGUCUAAGUACCUUGUGAAAUCCCACGGCUCAACCGUGGAACUGCUUGGUAUACUGGAUGUCUUGAGCCAGCUAGGGGCUACCGGAACAAAUGGUGGAGCGGUGAAAUGCGUAGAUAUCAUUUGGAACGCCAAUGGUGAAAACAGGUAGCUGGGGCUGUGCUGACGCUGAGACACGAAAGCCAGGGGAGCAAACGGG